rnacentral:rRNA from 1 species
CAGCCGCCGCGGGAAGACAGAGGAUGCAAGCGUUACCCGGAAUGAUUGGGCGUAAAGGGCUCGCAGGCGGUUUCUUAAGUCUGAUGUGAAAGCCCCCGGCUCAACCGGGGAGGGUCAUUGGAAACUGGGAAACUUGAGUGCAGAAGAGGAGAGUGGAAUUCCACGUGUAGCGGUGAAAUGCGUAGAGAUGUGGAGGAACACCAGUGGCGAAGGCGACUCUCUGGUCUGUAACUGACGCUGAGGAGCGAAAGCGUGGGGAGCGAACAGGAUUAGAUACCCCUGUAGUCCCUGUCUCUUAUAC